rnacentral:rRNA from 1 species
UAAUACGGAAGGGGCAAGCGUUGUUCGGAAUUAUUGGGCGUAAAGGGCGCGUAGGUGGUUUUGUGUGUCUAUCGUGAAAGGGUACAGCUCAACUGUAGCGAGUCGGUAGAAACUGCAGGACUUGAGGCUGGGAGGGGCUGGUGGAAUUCCCUGUGUAGCGGUGAAAUGCGUAGAGAUGGGGGAGAACACUCGUGGCGAAGGCGGCCAGCUAGACCAGUUCUGACACUGAGGCGCGAUAGCGUGGGGAGCAAACAGGAUUAGAUACCCUGGUAGUCCACGCUGUAAACGAUGGGCACUAGGUGCCGGCGGUCUUGAUCCCGUCGGUGCCGGCGCUAACGCAGUAAGUGCCCCGCCUGGGGAGUACGGUCGCAAGGCUG